UACGUAGGGGGCAAGCGUUGUCCGGAAUUAUUGGGCGUAAAGAGCGCGUAGGCGGUCCGAUAAGUCGGCUGUGAAAGUCCAGGGCUCAACCCUGGAAAGCCGGCCGAUACUGUCGGACUAGAGUCCGGAAGAGGCAAGUGGAAUUCCCGGUGUAGCGGUGAAAUGCGCAGAUAUCAGGAGGAACACCGGUGGCGAAGGCGGGUCUCUGGGCAUUAACUGACGCUGAGGAGCGAAAGCAUGGGGGAGCGAACAGG
rnacentral:rRNA from 1 species